rnacentral:lncRNA from 1 species
UUGCACUUGUUUUUAUUAUAUUGCUUGAAGCGAUUAUUCUACAACACAACUUUUGAGUUUACAUAUAAGGCACAAAUACCCUAUUGAUUUUAAAGCAUUUACAUAUAUUCACAUGUUUUUAAUAGUCAAAUCUUUUGUCUUUAGCUUGUUUCCUAUCUACGCUCUACUCACGGAGUUGAUGAUCACUGAGUAAGUGAGACUCACCCCCUUAUCUUUUUUUUUGCACAUCGAGACUUGCUGCAACAUAAGUAAUGGCAUCUCUUAGAUUUCCACUCCGAGUUGCUUCGUUGCAUAGAGGUCAUGCUAUGUAAAAGUGUUAGACUAAUAAAAUUAUUAUUAGCCUUUUGGAUAUGUAUUCGCUAAAAACUUUGAGGUUGUGUAACGAAUACCACGUGUGAUGUUGAAAUUUCAUUGGGGUUUAUUAAGUUUGGUUAUUGGUAUCUAGAUGUUACUUUUUAAAUACAACUGUUUAUUUGGUUUAAGUAAAUGAUAGUAUUAAUAUUGCUAGUUUAUUUUAAUUAUUCGAAAUCUCAACUAAGGCUUGUUCAGAAUUUGG